rnacentral:sRNA from 1 species
AAUGUUAGUGUUGAGUUCGCUAUUCACAAGACUAGAUUUCAUCCCUCAAAGAUUUUUCCAAGUUCCACCUCUUGGAAAAAUAUAUUCAUUUCGGUGAAAUU